rnacentral:rRNA from 1 species
AACGAACGCUGGCGGCAGGCCUAACACAUGCAAGUCGAACGCGCGUAGCAAUACGCGAGUGGCGCACGGGUGAGUAACGCGUGGGAAUCAACCCAGAGGUUCGGAAUAACCGCGGGAAACUGCGGCUAAUACCGGAUAUCCCCUACGGGGGAAAGAUUUAUCGCCUUUGGACGAGCCCGCGUCCGAUUAGCUAGUUGGUGAGGUAAUGGCUCACCAAGGCUACGAUCGGUAGCUGGUCUGAGAGGACGACCAGCCACACUGGAACUGAGACACGGUCCAGACUCCUACGGGAGGCAGCAGUGGGGAAUAUUGGGCAAUGGAGGCAACUCUGACCCAGCCAUGCCGCGUGGGUGACGAAGGUCUUCGGAUUGUAAAGCCCUUUCGGCGGGGACGAUGAUGACGGUACCCGCAGAAGAAGCCCCGGCUAACUUCGUGCCAGCAGCCGCGGUAAUACGAAGGGGGCUAGCGUUGUUCGGAAUUACUGGGCGUAAAGGGCGUGUAGGCGGCCCGUUAAGUCAGGUGU